UAAUGCAUUGGGAAUCAAUCUUAAUGUAUAGUAUUUUUCAUAGAUGUACUCAAGAGAAUAGUCUAGACGUCAUAAAUAAUAACUUCAUGAAUUUAUAAAGAGCUCAGAUUUUCGUUUAAGAUAAACUAACAAAGUAUGAGUAAGUAAAGUAACAUAAGAAUACAGCUCACUUCAAAAUAUUCCAAACCAACACUUGGUACAAGGUGCAAGUGAACAUCCACAAGUUUCUCGAGGUUGGCCUGGAGUUCACCAGGUUGGUUGACACUUUUAACCAGAGAGUCGAGUCCUCCCACAAUGCGGUUGGAUUGGGCAAUGAAUUCAGCAUCAUUUUUAAGAUUGUCAUUAGACUGGGUGGCAUCAAACUUGGUGAAUCUUCUUCUCAUGUUUGGAAUAUUUUCAAACAUCCUGUUGAGGAAGUACAAGAUUGAGACAGUUGAACAUGUGCAAUCAAUGCAAUCUUGAAGAUGUUUUAAAGUGGUGUUCUUUCCACCCCUUAUCAGGCCCAUUAAACUGCCCUGAUUUUGAGUAAGCUUUAUGUUUCUGUAAUUGUUGCAGUUGUUUCACUAAACAGAUUAACACCAGCCAAAGGUAGCUACUUAAGUCAUCAUAUUAAGUUAGAAAGAAAAUCUAUAAGAAGUCUAAAGAAGACUAUCACAAAUCAAAACCGCUACUCUUUCUAAAAUAAAUCCACC